rnacentral:rRNA from 1 species
GGGAUAGUGGCGAACGGGUGAGUAACACGUGGGCAAUCUGCCCUGCACUCUGGGACAAGCCCUGGAAACGGGGUCUAAUACCGGAUACUGAUCCUCGCAGGCAUCUGUGAGGUUCGAAAGCUCCGGCGGUGCAGGAUGAGCCCGCGGCCUAUCAGCUUGUUGGUGAGGUAAUGGCUCACCAAGGCGACGACGGGUAGCCGGCCUGAGAGGGCGACCGGCCACACUGGGACUGAGACACGGCCCAGACUCCUACGGGAGGCAGCAGUGGGGAAUAUUGCACAAUGGGCGAAAGCCUGAUGCAGCGACGCCGCGUGAGGGAUGACGGCCUUCGGGUUGUAAACCUCUUUCAGCAGGGAAGAAGCGAAAGUGACGGUACCUGCAGAAGAAGCGCCGGCUAACUACGUGCCAGCAGCCGCGGUAAUACGUAGGGCGCGAGCGUUGUCCGGAAUUAUUGGGCGUAAAGAGCUCGUAGGCGGCUUGUCACGUCGGUUGUGAAAGCCCGGGGCUUAACCCCGGGUCUGCAGUCGAUACGGGCAGGCUAGAGUUCGGUAGGGGAGAUCGGAAUUCCUGGUGUAGCGGUGAAAUGCGCAGAUAUCAGGA